rnacentral:rRNA from 1 species
CCCGGGCCUUGUACACACCGCCCGUCACACCAUGGGAGUUGGUUUUACCCGAAGCCGGUGGGCUAACCUCGCAAGAGGGGGCAGCCGACCACGGUAAGGUCAGCGACUGGGGUG